GUAUUCCGUCAUCAGAAAUGAAAGUUAUGCACGCUCGUAUGAUCUCGGGGAGAGUUCAGAGAAGACAAUUUUAACACUGCAAUGCAGGUCCUGAGGGACGCGGGGGACACGGAGGGGCAGUGUUGGAGGCAAAUGGGACCCCAAAGGCAGGAAGGGUGGAACCAAAGGUCCAUCCAAUGUCUUUAAGAUUGUGAAGAUGAUCAUUGAAAGGAACUUCCAGCCAGUGAUCAUCUUUAGCUUCAGUAAGAAAGAAUGUGAGGCUUACGCACUGCAGGUGUCCAAACUGGAUUUCAACACGGGUGGAGCAUGUUCUACCGUUGCUGAAGAGAGGAAUUGGUAUUCAUCAUGGCGGCCUGCUCCCGAUCCUGAAAGAGACCAUUGAGAUCCUGUUCUCUGAGGGGCUGAUAAAG